rnacentral:rRNA from 1 species
CCUACGGGUGGCAGCAGUGAGGAAUAUUGGUCAAUGGCCGGACGGCUGAACCAGCCAUGCCGCGUGAAGGUCAGUGCCCUAUGGGCGUUAAACUUCUUUUGUGCGGGAGCAAUAAUGGUCACGUGUGGCCAGACGAGAGUACCGUACGAAUAAGCAUCGGCUAACUCCGUGCCAGCAGCCGCGGUAAUACGGGGGUGGCAAGCGUUAUCCGGAUUUAUUGGGUUUAAAGGGGGCGUAGGCUGUGAGGUAAGUCAGCGGGGAAAUGCCCCCGCUCAACGGGGUGAAGGGCCAUUGAUACUGCCUUGCUUGAAUGCGGAUGCCGUGGGAGGAAUGUGUGGUGGAGCGGUGAAAUGCAUAGAGAUCACACAGAACACCGAUUGCGAAGGCAUCUCACGAAUCCGCGAUUGACGCUGAUGCACGAAAGCGUGGGUAUCAAACAGGAUUAGAUACCCGAGUAGUC